CCCUUAGAUGUUCUGGGCGGCCCGCGCGCUACAUUGGCGCUUUCAGUGCGGGUCCAGAUUUAAAAGUUCGGGGUAUUCUGUGAAGUGGUGUCGUGACUGGGAUUGACCCUUGUAAUUGUUGAUUAUGAACGAGGAAUUCCUUGUAAUCGCGGUUUAUCAGCCCGCGUUGAAUGCGUCCCUGCCCUUUGUACACACCGCCCGUCGCUCCUACCGAUGAAUCGUCCGGUGAAGUUCAUGGAGUAGCGGCUGUUUCAGCCACCGUCGAAGUGGAAUGGACCUCAUGAUUUAGAGGAAGGAGAAGUCGUAACA
rnacentral:rRNA from 1 species